UUGACACAUAGAGUGGGCCUCAAUUGCUUAGAAACCAAGCUGAACUCACAAAGAAAAGAAGAUGGGAGAAACUUCCCAAGAGGAAUAUCUCCAAAUUGCAGGUGAAGGUCACAGGGAAGACAUGCCUCUGUGUUAAAACUUCAGGUGGUCCUAGUAAUGGUACUAUGGGAAUGAAGCAUGGAGAGGAUUGUGAAAAGCUGCAGUGAGGAAGGAGCUUUCUCUCAAAGUGCAACCCUCCAAGGAUUAAAUAUCAUAAGAAGAAUUCUGGACUGAAGAGUUACGAUGUCAUUUUAGAAACUUCCAGAUAAUUUGUAUUAAUUAAAUUCUCACCAGUUGAGUUCCAUUCUACACGAGAAGAUCAUUUCUUCUGGGAGUGCUCCUCAAAAUGAACAUUUGGCAAACACAGAGAGAUAUGCUCAAAGAAGAGGUGAGUUUGGAACUGCAAAUCUUCCCAGCCUCAGGACUUCUAUUAUGGUUGCUUGCUGUGCUACAAAGCUGGAGGUCUAAAGUGGAGGCAUGCAGAAGAUGCCGUCUGGCUUAUAAAGGGUCUAAUUACAUGUGUGUGCAGCCCUAUGUGGCAGUCUGGGAAGCCAAUGAUACAACUAACUAUACUGAAACAACAAACGUGAGCUUCCACUAAGGGCCCCCGCCUAUAGAGCCAUCAUGUUGUCAUGUCAUUUUCAUACAUUGUCAUUCCUUUCUUUUGUUCUAGCUUCACUUGUUGACUUUUCUCCCCCUAUUAAAAUCCUCCUCCUUUCAGGACACCAUCAAGAGUCACCUCCUCAGGGAAGCCUUCCAUGGUUUUAUACCACCCAUCCCUAUCUGAAUGAAUGUAUCUUUGUUCUCUGUUAACCCAAUAUUUGCUGGGCUUUAUCACACUACUUUCAAUGCCUACACCUCAGUCAUCAAAUCCGAAAAACAAGAGUCAUCAGUCUCUAAGGUCCUUGCAAGCUUCAAAACUUCAUAUUUUUGUCAAUUAGAACCUAAUAAAGCUGAAAAAACUUACCA
rnacentral:lncRNA from 13 species